AGCCCUUGUACAGGCUGGUCAGACCAUUUUGUUGCAGAUUUCUUUGGAGAAGCCUCACCCAUCAGAUCUUUUGGUUUGUUUGUGGAGCAAGACUCAGUGCUGCUGAGCAUGUGCUUCCCCUGGGCCAGGCUGCUCCAAUUUCAGUAAUACUGUGGGUAGAGUUUGCAAGAAUUAAAACUGGCUUGCUCAGAAAGUGAAAGGACCCAGCUUUCAUAAACCCACGAUCCCCAGCUCCUGUGGGAAAGACUCUGAGGUGGAUAGCUGAAAACAUCCUCGUUCAGACAGACCUCCUACAGAAGCCUGUAUGAGUCUAGCAGACACUAGAGCUUGAAUAGGGUUCAUGAGUUCAUUUUGACUUAAUAGUUCAUAUGAGCAUUUGAAAAAAAAAAGUAACUCUGCCUCUUCUCCACUGAAGAUCUUUCAGCUCUGUGCUUGACAACUGCAUUUAUCUGAUCGUGUACAAGAAGACUGAUUUUCAGGUGAUUUCCUUGUAAUGUCAAGCCAUAAAGCAGCCUGGAGUCUGAUCCCAGAGGACCUUACCCAGCACUGUCUGCUGUCUGCAGCCAACAGUCAUUUCUUGCAAAUAAUUAAACCCCUGUGGAGCAUCAAUAGCUGGGUUGCUGAUAUUGCAUUUAGAUAAGAAGGAGGAUCUGUAGGUGAUGCAGGAGAAUAACUCUGAAGAAUCUGUUCUCUCUCUAAAGCAUUUUCUAACAGAAAGCAGAUGUCUAUCAAAUCUUCCUCUUGCCAAUUAAAUUUAGGGCUGAAAUUGCUGCUUUUGUAGAGCUUCAGGAGGUCCAGCCCUCACAAGCACAUCGGCUUGUUGCUCCAUUUGUGUUCUGGAUCAGUGCAGAUGAAGGCUGUGAUCAGACAUGUCCCAAAGCACCCCAGACCUGGCACUCUCUCCCCACUCCUGGCUGCCUUUAACUGCAGGUACCAGGGCAAGAUGUGGAAUCAAACCUUUCUCGGCAGGUGCAGCCUGUUCUCCUCCCUGCUCAGGGCAGCCCCAUGGACACUGUCACAGGCUUCCCCAAGCACUUACCUGCACUUGCCCCUCACAUGGGGAAGCUCACUGACAUGAGUGGAAGCUCACUGACUGCAUCUUGAGCCUUCAGUGAGAGCCAGGGUGUGUACCCUCCUCCCCUCAUCAAACUGUUGAUUCAGAAGAGCUAAACACUCAAAGCUCCUGCCACAGAUAAUGGGAGCCGCAGUAAAAGCUCAGCAAUCAUGAAAAUCAAGCCUUCAAUAGCACUCUUGGGAAAGGAGAUGGCCUAUCCUGCCACAAACCUUUAAAAGCCCUGGUAGCGCAGUGAAAGUGGUUUGUAAUAGCAGGAAUUCAUUUGUUAAUAAAUUUCCCCUUUCUUGUCCUGUCACUAAUUCAGUGCACUUCAGCUGCAAGGUGGCUGGUGCUCAUGCUGGGGAAAGGCAACUCAGGGCUCAAGGGAUCUUGGCAGGGUCACGUUUUGAGAAAAGCUUCCUGGCUCAUUUUGGUGUACAUGGGCUCACAAAUGUACCUCUUUACUAGCUUGGUCAGCAGCUGCUUUCCUUCUGGAGUAUAUGCUGUACAUAAAGAAUAGCAACUGUAAUAAUUUUAGGAGAAUAAGUUUAAAGAAAAUACAUGGGAAAGAGGGAUUGACCACAUAAAACACUAACAAGAGACAGUCUUGCACUGGCAGUGAGAAGAAAGAUGUUUUAAUGGGCUUCCCUGAUUACCACUACUGACUUAGUAGAACCUUCUACUCUCCUUAAUGAGAAUAGAUGAACUCUCCUAACUUUAGGAGUGACCUCUGUAUGACACCUUUGCUUGAGGCUGGAGCCAGGCUGGUGUUCCUGGAAGAGGUGGGAGUACUCAGUUAUUUAUGGCUAAGUCUUUUGAAAGAAAUAAAAUUGUGCUGUACCAGAAUAACUCACUGCA